UGCUUUACACCAUGCAAGUCGAGCGGCAGCGCGGGGGCAACCCUGGCGGCGAGCGGCGAACGGGUGAGUAAUACAUCGGAACGUAUCCUGGAGUGGGGGAUAGCUCGGCGAAAGCCGGAUUAAUACCGCAUAAGCUCUGAGGAGGAAAGCGGGGGACCGUAAGGCCUCGCGCUGCAGGAGCGGCCGAUGUCGGAUUAGCUAGUUGGUAGGGUAAAGGCCUACCAAGGCGACGAUCCGUAGCUGGUCUGAGAGGAUGAUCAGCCACACUGGGACUGAGACACGGCCCAGACUCCUACGGGAGGCAGCAGUGGGGAAUUUUGGACAAUGGGGGCAACCCUGAUCCAGCCAUUCCGCGUGAGUGAAGAAGGCCUUCGGGUUGUAAAGCUC
rnacentral:rRNA from 1 species